rnacentral:ribozyme from 1 species
GAUCCGAAAGACAAAUACCUUCUCGAGGUCAGGACCGUAAGUAAGUUUGGCAUCAAUUGCUAAAAAAUAUCAAGCCGAAACCAAAUUUGU